rnacentral:rRNA from 1 species
GAUGAACGCUGGCGGCGUGCCUAAUACAUGCAAGUCGAGCGAACAGACGAGGAGCUUGCUCCUCUGACGUUAGCGGCGGACGGGUGAGUAACACGUGGAUAACCUACCUAUAAGACUGGGAUAACUUCGGGAAACCGGAGCUAAUACCGGAUAAUAUAUUGAACCGCAUGGUUCAAUAGUGAAAUACGGUUUUGCUGUCCCUUAUAGAGGGAUCCGCGCCGCAUUAGAUAGUUGGUAAGGUAACGGCUUACAAAGGCAACGAUGCGUAGCCGACCUGAGAGGGUGAUCGGCCACACUGGAACUGAGACACGGUCCAGACUCCUACGGGAGGCAGCAGUAGGGAAUCUUCCGCAAUGGGCGAAAGCCUGACGGAGCAACGCCGCGUGAGUGAUGAAGGUCUUCGGAUCGUAAAACUCUGUUAUUAGGGAAGAACAAAUGUGUAAGUAACUAUGCACGUCUUGACGGUACCUAAUCAGAAAGCCACGGCUAACUACGUG